rnacentral:rRNA from 1 species
CACGUAGGGCGCAAGCGUUGUCCGGAAUUAUUGGGCGUAAAGAGCUCGUAGGCGGUCUGUUGCGUCCGCUGUGAAAACUCGGGGCUUAACCCCGAGCCUGCAGUGGAUACGGGCAGACUAGAGGUAGGUAGGGGAGAAUGGAAUUCCCGGUGUAGCGGUGAAAUGCGCAGAUAUCGGGAGGAACACCAGUGGCGAAGGCGGCGACCUGGACGGACACUGACGCUGAGACGGCGAAAGCGUGGGGAGCAAACAGG